AAACACUAAGAAUACAAAAGCUAUAAAAAGAUAUAUAAAAGGGGUAUAAAAGAAAAGGCAAAAAAUCACUAUGGCAUCACUACCAAAUUUCAGCUUUGUAGAAAUAAACAAUUUGUGUUCAUUUAGCACAGUCCUUGCUAUAGAAAGUGCAGACACCUAUAGGUAUGUGAUGACUUGCUCUUUGGAAGGAUAUUUGGAAAAACGUAUUCAGGAGAUGCACUGAAUUCUCUCAGGACCACUUCUUAAAUUUGAUCCAAAGAAAAAUUUCAGAAAAGAAAAGAAAUACUUCCUGGCUGUUUUUAUGCUUUUUCCUCUAUAAGCACCAGACUCAGCUCAGCUUGGGAGGGGAACAUCAGCCUUAUGUGAUAUAACUUUUCCAUUAGUGCAGAACAGUUGAAGAAACUCUUGAACAACUUUUUUGUUUAGCACAUGGAAAAGAUAAGGCCAACACAAAGGGAAAAUGGCCAAACACAUCAACACCACAAAAAGCUGCUGCUGCCAUCUCUUUUCAGCUAAUGUUACUAUAUACAUGCAUCUCUGCAUGGGUUUUUGUCAGUUCUGGAGGGUGAAAGUCAGUUCUGGUGGGUUUUAUUCAGGUGAAAGGCAAAAGCAAAUUCUCCAAAAACUGUUAACCCACAAGGUUUGUGCUUGGCUAAGGGCAGGUGACAUCUCAGCACAAGUAGAACAGUACAACAGAACACCCCUCUGUAAUCAGAAUUAAGCACAAGCAAUAUACUUUAGUGUGCAAGGAACUGCAGCUGUUCUUCUAAGUUUUAAUCUCCAUUCCUGAACUACCAAUGUCCAAACAGGCAAUAAAAGUGACCUUCCCUAGCUUGUGCUUCUCAUUACUGAAGGUGGAAAAUGACAAGGCAAACAAAAGAAGUGGUUAGAAAUCAUACUGUCAUGACUGAUACAACUGGUUCAUUUGACACUUGUACUGGAAUCUGAAUCAGAAAAGACAGCUACAGAGAACUAGGAAACAUGGACAAAGUUAGGAGACACUGUAUAGCUUUAGGAAGGGAAAAGGAGGUUUCUUAACACAUUUAUCUUUCCUUAGACAGGCCAUAAGCAAUGCCUAUGCAGUCACGUAUUGCUGAGGCAGGUGGCCAUGCAGGUCAGGCUGCUGAGGGGCUGCCAGCAGAAAUCACAAGGAUUAAGGCUUGGAGGACUGUGGACUGCUGCAGUCUGAUCAGUGACUAGUGGAGGCUGAUAAAACGCUGCAAAUUACUGUGUGUGAGAUUUAUAAUGGUUUUCUUCAAGUACUCCAAGUUCAGACCUGGCAGUUGAGUGCAGGAGGCAGGUGUUUGACUGCUCCUGUGCUUUGAGACCAGGAUGGUGAUAAACAGCCUGACAUAAAACGAGCAGCGCUGGAUUCAAACAGGGUUCAUGGCAGACAGAGAUACAGUCGCAUAUUAUAUGGGGGUUGAGCAAUUUAUUGAAGAUUCAGAGCUCGAGUUCUGACAUUGAGAUAUCAAUCACAUGAGAUUAGUGUUGAGGGGUGUUUGCUUUCUGCCUGCAGAUAAACAUCUCCCCUGAAUGAGUUGAGAGAUUUGCAUGUAAAUCUGCUCUGUACCUUAAAUAUGAGUCACAGGCUUUUCUUUUCUGCUUUGUCAUGAAAAGUAUACUUAAAAUAUACUUGUAUAUACUUUAUAAAAAGUAUAUUUGUGUAUAGUUUAUAUAUGCUUGUAUAUACAUAAAAAUAUGUUUAAAUCUCAGCUUGGGUACAUAGGUAACUGGAGUGGUCUUUCUUGUACAAAACAUACUGAGAAAUUUUUUCCUCAAGUCUGCUGUUACUUUAAAUAUUCCAUCCUUAAGAUGUACCAUUUAAAAUCUCAGUUGUUCUUCUGAGGCUGGGAUGUACUCAGACAGUAUAAUGCAUCAGGCUUGGUGGAUGCUGAAUCUGAAUGUAAAGGAAAAUCAGAUGUUUAGUCUUUCUAUCCAUGUAAAAUUGUGGCAUCAGUGAGCUGAAAAUGCGGUAGGAUGAAAUUUAACUUUUCCAUUUGUUCAGGGCUGUUUCUGCUUAGAAUUGAGAAAGUCUUACUUUUCCAUUAUAUGUUACUACAAUUCUUAAAUUUUCUCUUUAAAUAAUUGAUUCUGUAUUUUAUAUUUUUAUUUUAUAUUUUAUCUGUGUACCCAAUAGAGUAUUUGAAGCACGAGGCAUUCUCUUAAAGUACUCAGCUGUAGAAAACAGAAGCUAUUACUAGAUUAGCUGUUAAGAACACUGACAUCCAUAUUGAACCACAGAUAAUAAAAAUAAGUUAUUCUAAAUUGUAAAAAGUAUGGUAAAUUUCAUUGAUAUAAAACCUAGUAAUUGGCAUUGUUAUAUAAUGGCAAUUAAAAAGCACUAUAAAGAAUAAGGUCUGUUCCAAAGGCUGUCUAGAUGAGAAAAACAAAUGUUCUGUAAAGGAAACAUACAAUGUACAUAGAAAGAAGAUAAUAUUCCAUUAUUUGAUAUACAGUCCUGGAGAACACACAGCAUAAGCAGAUCUUUCUGAAAGCUUCCGUAAUUUGAAACUACACCAUGGAGGUAUCCAGGUGAGUGAGAAAAUCUAUAUACGGAUCUGAGACACUGGACUGAAAAGUGUAUUUAGCCUCUUCCACCUAGUUCAGUAAGAUGGAUUAUGAAAGCCAAAAGCAAAGAAAACUGUGUGGCUCAUUUAAUACGAAGAUUUCUGUACCUCCUCCUGAUCUUUCUCUUGGCGCAUAUUUGUCUUGCUGUCCCAAUUGCCUGUGUUCUCUCACACACUUAAUCAACAGUUGAGUUCUCCAACUUCUCUGCCAUCUUCUGAGGACUUUGAACUGCACCCUUCUGGCCACUGACAAAGGACUUGGGACUCCAAAGUCCCUUUCUAUGGCUGUAUGUGAAGGUACUUCAUCUCCCUUUGGUUGUUGUUUAAUCUGGUCUGUUUCUAUAAUUCAUGCAGAAACUUUAUCUCCUCUUGUGCCCAAGAGAUGGUGAAUGGAUAUAAUUUUUCUGCAGCCUCCAAUUCCACCCACCCUACUAUCUCUUUAAGACCCUAAGGAUUUUUUACUUAAUUCUCUUUUCAUGUAUCAUGAUCAUUGUCUUGACUUCAUGCCAUUAAUUACUACUAUACAUCUUUAUUGAACGUUACCAUCUGAAAAGGGAAUGCAGAAAAUCAUUGUGGGCCUGCUCACAAAUGUACUUAGUUAAAUGUAAUCUUUACAUUGAUUUUCAGUGGAUUUAGAAUUACAGGUGAUCAUUUUCCUUCAAAAUAACUUUACCACUAGGAAACUCUAGCUAGGAUUCCCGGGCAAGUUAUUAUGUUAUUUUCUGGAUCAGUCUUGAAGUUCUUUGUUCCAGUAAAUCCCUGGAGGCUGGAUAACUAAAGGAGCUUUGGGUUAGCUGUCUGAAACUAAUGGCAUUAAAUCAAUUGCUACAAGAAUAUAUUUAGGCUGAGCAUUAAUAAUAUGGGGAGCCGAUGACAUAAUGAUGGAGCACUGGCCUGGGAUUUGGGAUGUCUGGACUGUGAUCUUGGCUCAGCCCAUAACUUGCUGGGCAACCUCCGGAAAGUCACUUUACUUUUGCCUUAUUAAAAAGUUUCAUGUGGAAAGUGCUUUGAACUCUUCUGAUGGCAAGUGUUAUGCCAGUGCCAUAUAUUUUGUAACCACAUAAGUGAAAUCUGUUAAAUGCCAAGGAGAAUUAAAGUGGUAAGUGCCUGUGGCUAGAGAGCCUUUCAUGGACACUGCUCAAGCCUCCUGUCAAAUCUGUGUUUCUGAAAUAAUCUUGUAGGAGAAGUGAAAGGAGCAGGAAGAUGCCCAAAUAGCCCUUUAUACUGAUAAGGCUUGUUUAAUAAUGACAAAUUGUACAAUAUAAGAUGCAAUGAGAAGGAUGUAUCAAGUGGGAUUCUGCAGGAGUUAUUCUGGUUAUUGCAGUAUCAGCCUUUUCAUUAGGGCACAGAAUACGACACUCCAGGAAAGAAUAGGGAGAUUAUCAAUGAUGGAGAGUGCUAGGAUACUGUUUUAGAUAGCAAUUUUCCUGAUAGGUACCACUGAGAAAGCUAACAUACUUCAUACCACUUUUUUUUCUGUGAAUCAGAGUUCAGUUCUCAGUAGGAAGAUCAGCUGCACAUGAACAUUGGAAGAGAAGCAGGAUUUGGAGCUACAGCAGGAGAAGAAAUCAUCACUAAGGGGAGCUAAGCAACAUUUGACUUGUGAAAUUGGGUGGACUUGGUCUCUCUUUACUGGGAGCUAUGAAAGAGGUGAAUCAAAUAGAGGCAUCAAAAAUUAUCUUUGAGAAAGUAUGAAGGAUUUAUGAAGUCCUAGAUCCUGGAAAUGAGUAAAUGCAGUCCUUAUCUUUAAAAAGAGGGAAAAGGAAGUUCAGAGGAAUUACAGAUCAGCAAGCCUUUCCAGAAAAAAAUACUGAAGAAACAAAUAAUUUUUAAGGAGAAAACCCAAAGCCAGCACAGAACAAAAUGAACCAAGGAACUGGAAAACAACAAAGGUCUGUCAAAAGCAAAUUAUCCAAGUUUCAAACCUGUUUUUUUUUCUAUGAAAGAAGAGUGUCUAUAGUAGAACUGGCCAGAGUGGUGCACUUUGAGCCUUGUAAGCAUAACAUGGCAGCUUCCAAAGUAGACUGGGAAAAGUGCAUCUGUAAUUAAACUGCCCUAAGCUUGAUACAGAACUCUCUGGAAAGCCUCCUUCACAGAGGGUAUUAAUGACUCACUGCCAAACGCUCAAGCAGGAUCCCAUGUACUCUGGAUGCAGCAGUAAAUUCUUCAUCAGUAACUUGCAUAAUGAAGCAAAGGUUAUGCUUAGUAAAUAUGCAGACCAUACCAUCCUAGGCAGAUUCAGGCAUAUUGGGAAAAUAAGAAUUUUUUUUCCAAUAACUUUAUAAUUUAGAGAAAUGGUCUGAAAAAUAGAGCGGAGCUGAAUUAAGGACAAAUAUGAACUGUACAAUGCUGACCAACAAUAUGAUUGUACAAGGACAGCCAGCUCUGACAGUCCAGAAUACACUGGGUGGUGAAACUGCAGGGGAAGAUCUGAAGCUAUUACUGGGCAUCAUUAGUGGAAAGAAACGGUGUCAAGCUGUUGUGCAAAACACAAGCACUCACUGGGUACGCAAGAUCAGGCAAUGGACUCUUCUCUCUGGUGACCAGUGACGGGACCUGAGGGAAUGGCUGGAGCUGUGUCAGGGGAGAUUUAGGUUGGAUAUCAGGAAAAAGUUCUUCUCGCAGAAGGUGGUCAGGCACUGAGCAGGCUCUCCAGGGAAGGGUCAUGGCCCCAGGGCUGACAGAGCCCAAGGAGCGUUUGGACAACACUCUCAGGCACGUAGUAGGAUUGUUGGGGUGUCUGUGUAGGGCCAGGAGUUGGACUGGAUGAUCCUUGUGGAUCUGUUCCAACUCAGAAUGUUCUAUAAAAGAACAAGCCCUGCAGGGUAAGUGAAGGUGCUCUGGUGAAAUCUGAUGUCCAACACUAGGCUCCAUGGAAAAUAACACCAGAGACUGGCAAGUGCAAGGCAAUGAGAAUGACUACCACUGAGGAUUUAAUGAACUGCUGUUAUUUCAUCUAAAGAGGAAAGAAGACACAGGUGCUACAGGAUAAUUGCCUUCCAACUGAGAAGAGACUGCUGCAAAGAUACUCUGGAAGGCUUGAAGAACUGUUCGAGCUGUUAUGAGGUUGGUACUUUGCCCUCUGGAGUGGGAAGAAACAGUGCACAUAGCAACUUGAGUUGACCUCAUUUAUCCUAUUCAAAAAUAUUCUGACUGCAUGAAGCUCUUGCUCUUACAAGUCUACAUGAAAAACUGCAGUGCGAAUGCCCUCGAGGCAAUUUAGAACAUCUGCUGUGAACACAUGAAACCCUUCCCUCUGCAGCCAGCUUGCCACUCGGUUUAAUGGAGCCAAGAUACGAGGCUUGGUCGGUUGAGCCAGGCACAGCUUGGACACCCAACAGUGUGAAAAUCAGCGAGUCAACAAACUUUCAGUAUGAGAAAAAUGAGAGACUCAGAGAAAUUAAUGCCACAAUUAAAAAAAAAAACCCACAUACAAUUUUGUGUUGCUGUUGCAGCAGCACUGCAGAAUUUAUAGCUAAUCAAGCCAUAAAACCCAAAGUAAUAUUAAUCAGCUUUCCAGCCCUUGCAAUAUACAUUUACUUUUAAAGAACUGCAUUUAAAAUUGUCCUCAUUUCUUUUUCUGAAAACCCCCAAGAUCCUGAUUGUCCUGUUCAGUGAAUGUCUGUAUAAAACAGUUUUGCUAGCUUGCCAUUGAGCCACCCUUUUUCAGUUUCUUGUACAGUAACAAUGAAGCUGCAGAUGAGUGCUGGUAUCACUUCUUUUCACUUCCCUUAAAAAAUUUGUUGUUAGUGAACUGAUAAAACUCUCGUAUGGUUCAUUCCUACUUAAAAUUAGUAACAGCUCUAGGUUAAUGAUAAUUCAGAAAUUAGUAAUGUUGAACAGCAUCCCAAUUCUGUGUUUUUAAUUAAUAUCUUUAAUUUACCACUUCUGUUGUUCUCUCAUUCUGGCUCCACAGUUUGAAGGAAGAUCUGUGAGAAGCCCAGUCAGACCAGUGUAGUUUUGUUGUGCUAAUGACCUUUCUCUGAAGCAAACAACAGAAAAAUAUAGUCUAGGUUAUGCUUAUGACUGAACCACUAUGGGAGUUUGGUCCUACUGCUGCUAAUAGCAAAUCACACUGGAACUGGUCAAUGACCUUAAUUUCAUUAGAAGCUGCUUCUGGUUUUAGGCAAAUUUGGAAAAAAAUCCUCAAACCCUCAAGAUCCAUAAGCUAACCACACAUUUUUAUCCUUUACUGUAUGAACAGGAUGGAUAGUUACUGAAUUUAGAAGGAAAUGGAUUUUUUAAAGGGGUAUCAUCUCCUGGCAGCUCUGUCAUGCAUACAGGAUGCCCAUGGACUCUGGAAAAACAUCUCCAUUUUAACUUAGGCCACUUCUCCUCCAAACAAAACAUUAUGUCCCAUCACCUAACACAGGGUACUGAGAUGCUGCCUCCUAUUUUCCAGGCUCUCCUUUAAUUACUUGUUUGGGUGUCCUUGUGCUACAGCACCUUUUACUUUUCCUCUGGUCAGACUGAUCAGCAGCAUUCUUGGGCAGAAAAACAAGGAGCAGGACUUGGUACUUAGGUCUGAGACAUUCACUAGCAAGGAAAUUUGAAGAGGAUUGAGCAGUGUUUUCCAGCAUUUCCUUCUAGUGUCUCCUAGAGCUGCUCUGCAGUGUUUCCAUCCAUAAGCCUCUCUUCAGCAUACCCUGAUUUUUAUAUGGCUUCAUAUUUCCCAGAACCUAUCAGAAGGCUGAUGUCAAGAAAGGAUGUUGCGAAAGUCACACUGCAAGCACUGUACCAAAUGGAAAAAAGCAGCACUGGAAACCUGUUCCCUUAUGGAUGUUUCACUUGAGACAUGGUCACAAUUAUUUUCGGAGGGAAAAAAUCACACACUAAAUACAUUUAAUUAUUUGGAUCUUUUCCUGCUUUGGACAGAUUGUGACAAUCUUAUAUAAACAUUGGCACCAAGUAUUAGGGCAGUCUGAUUUUUGACCCAGAUCUGAUUAUUUUGCAGCACACACAACUGCGCUUCCAGUGGAAGAUUCCCCCAUGUCAAGUUUCUAACAGGGUAAAUAAAACCAUCUGUUGUGGAAGCAGGAUUUUUAAAUUAUAUGCCCUGUUAACCACUUUCAUGUCUAAAGAAAUAACCUCGUGCCUUUAUGAAAGGAGUUCUGCUCUCCUGAUUUACACAUAUCUGGGCCAGAUAUCAGAUGGCUAAAUUAACUUCUAUUCCCCUUACAUUUACUUCUAUCAGACGGAUUUCAAUCUUCUCCCUUUCCAUUGACCCCUCGUGUUUCCCCGCCUCCUACUUUCUCUUGAGCUCUAUGACAAAUAUAAUUGCAAUAAAUGUUUUAUAAAAAUAGGUAACGAAACAAAUACUUUAAAAUAUAAAUAUGUUAUACAUGUUAUAUCUGGUAAAGUAAUUAAAAUAUCUCUUAUGAAAAAGAUCUUAUCAGCCUCUAGUCCAAUGUGAACAUCAUCUCUGCAGAGAUGAGCGAGGAGCACUUAAUGUGAGUAAAGGGGGGGAUUUCCAUGGUAAGAAUACACAUGGUUUUCCCCAGACCUUUCAAUAAGUGCUUAAGAGAAACAUUUUUCCUCUUAAAUAAGUGCAUUUGAAGACUCCACUUGUUUAGCUAAAUUGUUGUUGAAUCAGCAAGAGGUUAAAUUGCUAUUUCCAGGACUAUUCUGCUCUCUGCACUCCCCUCAGUCACAAAGAGAAAUAGUUCUUGUUAGAAAAGAGGGGAGUGAACAGAAAUUUCUGCUGCAAAUUAGCACAUGGAAGGAACACUGUGUGCUGUUUCACUUUAUCACUUCGGGGGGUCCAUAUGGGUUACUUUAAUAGGACUUAAUAUUUGUCCUCUUUUUAUUCUUAUAAUAACGGAUACACCAGGCUAGACACUGGUGUCUCCUUAAGGAAAUUGGGGCACCAUCUGGAUUCAUGCCAGCUAACAUUCUGCUCAGUUGGCUCUAAGCCUUACAAAAGUUCAAAUAUAUAUAUAGUUCAAGUUUUAAAUUCUUCUGCAUGGUUUAUUAUAUAUUUAUUUAUUUCUAUGGCAGUGUCUUACCCUGUUAGUCUACUGCAAGGCUUUAGGGUCCUUGGUGAUUUUGGGAUUACGAACUCUGCCAGUCGUGUGAUUUGCAAACAUGAGGUUAAACCCACAGAGCAGUAGCGUGGGUAACACUUACAUAAAAAUAUACAUACAUUUAAAUAAUAUAUGUAAUUUGCUGAUGUAGAAGGCAGUGCUGGAUCUCACAUUUCAAAUUCUAAUUUUCAGCAGUUUGCUACGACUGAAGCAUUUGCUUUGAUGACUGUAAAAUAUCAAGUAUCUAUAGAGAUGAACAAGACAUAUAAAUCAUCUUGUCUAUGUUUUAGUUAAGCACAAGCUUCCAUGUUUACCCUGAUACCUCUGUGUUAGAAAUAUCAAAUACCGAAUUGAGAUUGGACCGCCUAAUUUAUGUUCCUUGUUUAAUACUCACUAUUGUCCUAACACCCCUCUCCCAGCAUUGCUUUGAACAUAAAACUUUGAAUACUCCACAGUUAAUCUGAGCUUGUUUGACUGGUCAAUUACCCUUGUUAAAAUUUUGUGCUUGCUAUCUACAGUUACUUUAUUUAAACGUUCACUUUAUGUCAUAUCUAUAAAUGAAAAUACAUUUUUAUGUGGAAAAUUAGAAACUGGAAAAGCUGAAAGAAAUAAUGAAGAAAUGGUCUGGAAGAUACCUGAGGUGAAAUUUAGAAAUUUCUGAAUCUCAGAAAUGGCAAGAACCAAACCAUCACUUUUCCUCUGAACCAAGUUGCAUCCCUCUUCUGAACUUUUGCUUUUUGGCAAAUAUGCUGCAAAACCAGCACAGUGACUCAGAAAAUGAAAUUACUACAUGAUUUAUUAAGCUUUACAAGGAUGGACUCACAGGAAACCAGAUUUACCCCCCCUUGAACCAGUUUUCUAAGUUCUAGGAAUAGAGUUACAAUGCAAAUUAGAAUAGUUGGAACUUAGUAGGUUUAAGUGUUUAUUUUUCCCUACAGGACAGUAAUCAACUUUUUGGUGUUUCUUUAUAUACUCCUGAGCACAAUGGUCAGGAUCUAAAGCUCCUAUGUGAACCUGAGUGCAAAUAACAGUUUUCAGGUGAAAAUUUAUGUUCCUUGUUUAAUACUCACUAUUGUCCUAACACCCCUCUCCCAGCACAGUUUCCAGCAGUGAUUAUACUCUAGUCCUUGGAAACUGUGUAAAACAGCACACUGGCCUAAGCAGACAUUUUCUGGAGAGGGGACAGCUGUAAGAGGGUUUUAACCUCUCCCUUCUCCUCCUCUUUUCUUGUCAUGGUGAUGAGAACUUCCACCAUCUUUGGAAAGCUCUGCCACUUCUCUCAUUUCCAGCCAGUUACUCCUGCUAACAGGAACAGUAAUAAAACUGCUACACAACACAGCUGGCAGGUGAAUGGGUGCAUCUUCCUGCAAGGAUCCACUCCCAUCAUCUUGGGUAUCAAGAAUUACAUCCUCCAGUUUCAUGUUGCGCCUUCAUCCUUUUCCUGCAAGGCUGUGCCCGUUUUGAAGGAAUAAUUUGAUCUAAUGCAUUUUUCAUCAUCAAUAGCAGUUUUUUAUGGCAGCAGCGAAUCCUUUCAGAGGACAUCUGCAGUAAAAUACAACAGAGAGAGAGAGAGGAAACAUUCAGCAGCUCAAUUACUACUUCUGCUUUAGUGUAGGUAUGGAAAAAUACUGGAAGAAAUGGUGGAAGUAUUAAUGAAAGCCAUGUCCCAUUAAACUUUUGACCAGAUAGGGCUGACUCUCAUGUGCCAAGCUGCUGGAUAUUCAUGCCAGCAAAUUAAUCAUCCCAGGAAACAUUUACUUCAGAUUUGUGGAGAUAUGUGAUUUUCAGUUUAACUAUAGGCCUUUUUCUUUGAAUUUCCUACCAUUUAAAAAACUGCACAAGAACAAGGCCUGUCUGUCACUUCACAAACUGUGUCAACUUACUUUAAGGCUUCCUGUCUCUCACCCUUCAGGCAUGACUUAGUUUUGCAUAAUUUACAUAUUUUUAUAAUGCAGAAACUUUCUGGAUGAUUUUCCAUCAUGACUUCAGCUCUUUUGUUGUAAAGGUAACUUUUUAUGAUGUGACAGAAACAUAAACAAGAUCCCAUCACAAUAAAUAGUUACCAUGAACUCAUCUUGGAAAAUGCAUUCCAGGAAACCAGUCACUGUAAAAAAUAACAAAUACUAACGGCAUUAAGAGUGAGAAUACAGACAGGGCAGGGAUGAAGAAUUAGAAAUAAAAGUUCUACUGUGCCCUAUUUUUUAUUAGAAAUAUUUAAGUUCCUAUUAGGUAUAUUUAAAGGACCCCAAGCUCAAACAUAGGAAAAUUCUGAAUUUAACAUUAGCUAUAAACCUAAUAAAGUAGAAUGUGUUGAUUUAAAGAAUAGCUGGUAACAUAACUUCUGGUGUUCAUUUAUCAUAUCUUUAUGUGCUAUUACUUUAUAAGAUUUUAAAUGUAAUGCUUAUUAAAAAUGCAAGUCAUAUAUGAAACAAAUACAUAUGUUCCUGUUCCAUAUGAAAAUUCUAACUUUGAUUUGUGGUUACAUGUAAUAGAUCAAUAUGUACAUUGUUCCUGUCCUCCCACUAGAUGGAUCUGAUCCGUUCUGUUCUUUCUCCCAUAUGUAUUCACAUCUGCCAUAGUGGGAGGUAACCGGUUUAGAAAUGGAGAACAGAACCUUGGACUAAAUUCUGAUCUCAUUUACAUCAUUCAGCAACAGAGCUACCAGCCCUCCACACAGGAAAUCCAUUAAAAUUGCUACUUGUACCACGCCCUCACCCUCCCCAAUUAGGAUUUAUUUUAUUUGAUAACUCACAUCAUAAUAUCAUUUCUAUGUUUCAGUACAGAGACACAGGCCAAAUCUGUAGUAUUAUGAGAUGCGUGGAAUUAAUUGAAAUACUGGUAUUUUUAAAAUAUUGCCUUAUGUGUCUCCUGUUGAACACAAACAACCUCAUCUUCGAAGUUUCCUUUGAAAUUGUAACCUUUUCUGCUUUAAUCCUCUUUUGUCACAUAACUUCUCCUAUACUGAUCAGUAUUAAGGACAGCUCUGCCACUGUACCUAAGUGCAUUAUAAAUACUAUCAAUGUUAGUCUCAUUCCCCUUUUUUGCUUUCAGUGAGGAGAGACCUUCACCUAACUAUGCAUGACAGUUUUAUCCAGUUUCAGAGUUAUUACAGUUAAUUGAGAGUCCUUUUAAAUCUUGAGGACUUUGAAAAUGGUAGGAAAUAUAAUGUACAGACCGGACAGGUAUUGACUUCUUUGGUGCCCAUUGGAUAGUUUUAACAGUGUGGCUCUAUUUCAGCCUUAAAUUGGAGCAGAGUAAUCAUACAAAAGGAAAAAUUCCUUCAACAGAAAAUGUACAAGAGCACAAACAAAUCAUUAUGUCUGUAGAUCCUUUAUUAUUAAAAUUGAGGGAAGGAAGGGGUACUCAACGUGUCAGUCACCUUGUAAGAGAACCUGGAUUUUGACAGCAGCAGAAUAGCGAAAGCCAGAAAUAGAGAGCAUACCAAAAAAGAUUAAUUCUCAGUGGAAAGGCGAUUUUCUCUGAAAAACAACCUUUAUACUUGCUGUGAAGUUAAAGAAGAGCACACAGCAAAAAAAGAUACCUGAUAGCAACCACAACCUGGCUGCUCAUAAAACUGCUAACUAAGCACACACAGUAUUUGCAGCUCAGAAUUGUGCAACUUUCCAUAAAAAUUUCACUCUGUGGGAAACUAUGUGUAUUGAAAUUCAUAGAAAUGCUUAUUCACUGCAAAAAUGUUCAGUGUCCAAAUUAGAUGCCCUUCAUGAGGCAGUAAAUUACUACAAAUUCAGUGUUUUUUAGAUGCCCACUUUCAAAUUGACUUUACAGUACACUUGCACUAAUUACCAACAUUGCCAGACCUCUACUAUUAAAAAUAAGUAGCAUGCAAAUAGUGAAGGGUUUUUUUAAGUGCAUGUGCUCAGUCACAACUGGUUACUGAAGGAUAUAUUUUUGUUGGCCUUUCCUCCUUUGCAGAAGCUGUAUCUUUCGGUGGAUGUCAGAGAAAUAUUUUCCACAACUCAAAUGUGGAGCUGGGGAGAAUUUGGGUGUGUGGUGAAUCCUGGAGGGUUUGUAAGGCUCUUGGUGCUCUCAGGAAGUGCAUUGUUGCUGUUAAGGACAAGAAAGGCACAGGAGAAGGGGUAACUUUCCUUCAUAUCACCCCAAUCCAGAACCAUUUCUGAAGCCCUAACACCUGGCAUGCUUUCCAAGGCUGCUGAGCCUUUAGGCAAGCCCCAGUUGGACAUCCAGCAUCAUGGAGACACCCCAAAUUGAGGCUGAGGUCCAUCAAGUCCUGGCCCUUCCAGACGGUUCUCCCAACACAUGCCCUGGCCUGACUGCACCCAAUCAACAAUGAUAAUCUUCAGGUGUGGCUGCAGCACCACAGCUGGCCCCAAUGAACUCUGCUAAUGUAACUGCUGCUGCAAAUGAGGGUGGGGUCCAUUCUGCACACCUGGGGCUGAACCAGGAGCAGGUGUGGGGAAUGCAGGAGCAUCCCUUUCCUCCCUGAGGGAAGACCAGCAACUCGACCUCAAGGAACAUGUACCUAUUUUGCUGUUGCUUUUAAUUGUUGUCACCAAAAAUGUUGGGAUAAAUCAAACUAACGUUAAUAUUAGAAGGCAGGCAUUAUUUUAUUCACAGUACUUGGUGUGUGUGUGGUCGCUCCCCAAAUGUGCACACUCACUUUGAAAACUUCUCAAUAUUUAUAUAUUUUUAGCAAACAAAGCAAUUAAUGUUCAUUGGCUAUAAAUUAAAUAAUUCUGUUCAUUAAUUAGUAUUCUUUUAUUGAUUCUCCAUUCUCAUGCUAAUUAGCCCACAUUUGCAGUCUUUUUAUUAUCUUUUUCUCAGAGAGUGUUUCAGUGCAAUUGCUGAACUGUCUUUGUUAGUUUCUUCUUUAUCUCUGGUUUCUGCAAGACGUCCUUGUAGUCCAUAAAUUGUGCCUUCUUUUGUGCGCAGUUCUCGGCAAUACAUCUCUCCCCCAGGUUCUGUGCUUUGACACAUUCCAAGGCUGGUUUAGCAAAACUUAGUUUCAGGAGCUUUCCCAAACUGUGUUCUAACAAUAGUGGCUUUGCUACGUGCUGGCCAUAGUGGAAAAAUCACACUACUUAUGAUGAAUUAACAAAGUUAAUUAGAAAAGGUAAUUAAAAAGAAUUAAUUAGAGAAGUGAAGCAUUGGCUGCCGGGGCCGGUGUCGGUUGCUGGGCUGAUUGGGGUUGCCAGGCAACCGGCGGGGCCGACGGGGCCGGGCCUGGGCCGGGCAUAACUUAAAAACCAAAACAAAAACCCCAGAUCCAACAAAAACCCCAGACCCAACAAAAACACCAGAAAUAAAACCUCAAACCACAGGUUUGAUGAGUACCCCGAGGGCCACUGUGCUGCCCAUGGUGGCAGGGCCUACCCGCCUGAGGGCUCGGGGCAGUGUGGGUUGCUUUCAGGGCAUGCCUUAAAGGCAUUCACGUUAUAACGCUUCAAAAUAUUUGGCUUUUUAAAAGUUGCAGGCUUUGGCUGCUGGAUAAAAAGCUUCGGGCUCGAGACUUUGAUGGAACAGUUGCAUAGAAACAAAUGAAGAUUUAAUUAUACCUCCUUACAGAGGAGUUCAGAACACUCAGGGCUUGUUUGCCCCCCUAAGACUCCACUCCUCACUUGCGGAAAAAGCUUUCUUGGUGACCAUGUUCUCUGGGUGCCUGAGCAUUUUAUUUCUGUGCCCAUGACUAAGAAAAGUUAGAGCUGACACUUUCCUUUUACCUGCAGGAGACUGCAAUGGAAUGACAGAACUGUGCUACGAAACAGUGUCAUUGUGUAUUUAUCUUGUGAAGUUAUGAGUAAUUAUAAGUGAGGCUCUUCCUGCAGUGCUGGUUUGGGUGUUCCUCGGGAGGUGGUGGGGCUUGGUGUGGCAGUGCAUUCCCAAGGGAUGGCACAGUGCUCUGGUGAGGCUGAUCACCUGUGUUUCUUCUGAAUCCCUCACACCAACCCUUCUGUGACUGUUAGGGGGCUGACUCAGGUGGUGGUGUCAAGAGUGAAAGGAAUAAACUUGUUUCACAAGAGGAAAAAUAAAGCAAGAUGUUUAAUACGUAUAAAUAUCUCAAAGGCAAGUGUCAAGAGGAUGGUGCCAGGCUCUUUUUAGUGGUGCCCAGUGACAGGACAAGGAGCAACGGCCACAAACUAAAACAUGAGAAGUUGCACCUCAACAUGAGGAAGAGCUUCUUGACAUUGAAUGUGGCAGAGCACUGGAACAAUCUGCGCAGGGAGGGUGUGGAGUCUCCCUCUCUGGAGACAUUCCAAACCACCUGUGUCACUUGCUCCAAGUGACCCUGCCUUGGCACAAGGAUUGGACAGGGUUAUCUCCAGAGGUCCCUCUCAACACUAAUGAUGCUGUGAUUCUGUGAAGUGAUUCAGUGGCAAUCACUUGCCGCCUGCUGUGUGCAGGCUGAACCACACAGGUUUCUGAGCAAAAGAUGGCAAACCCUCCAAAACCCCCUUGUUUUCUCUCUUACUGCUAAGCAUGUUGUUACAUGAUAUGAGUAUCUAGCUAGUGUCACUUGCCUGGUUGUGCCCACUCCCAGCCCACUGCACACCCUCCUCCAGUCUGGUCACUGGUGAGGCAGAGUGACAAAGAAAAGGCCUCAAUGCUGCUCAGCAAAAGCAACAUCACUGUGUUACCAGAACUGUUUUGGUCAACAGUCUAACCUACAGCACUGUAAGAGCUGCUCUGAUGGAAACUAACUCUGCUCUAGGUAGGCCCAGCUGUUUGGGUUCUGGAAAUCUCCACAGGUGGUGGAUCCUCUCUGAGUAAGUCUAUCUGCUUUGCCAGGGUCUAUGCACUCCCACUGAGAAAUUCCAAUAUUUUUUUGCAUGCAAUGGGAGUCUCCACUGCUGCAGGCAGUAGUUGUUGCUUGUCCUUUCACUGAUUGACUUGGGGAGGAGUCAAGAGCCAUGUCAUCUCCACAGCCAUGCUAUAGGCUGCUGAGAGCAUUAGCAACACCCACCUCUUGCAAGGUUCCUGUUCUCCAGGGCUAAUAAAACUUGUUUCUUCAGUCUCUUUUCACACUUCAUGAACUAAAGCCUCUGUUUCAUUGGCAAGUUAAAGGUGCACUCUUAUUUUUGCCUCCCCUGAGGGCUAAUUGUUGGUCCUUUUUGUGGGGAACUCAAAGUAGGCAGAGUAUUCCAGUCAUGGGCUCAUAUUCCAGGCAUGCCAGCAGGAAGUCACUCAGCUUUGACCUUGCUGUGAUCUUGCUGAUCCACACAUUACUGACCCACAUUAAAAUCCUUGCCCAGGUAAGACCCCUCAGAAGCUUUUUUUCCAAAACCUGCUACACAGUCAUCUCCAGCCUUGGCAGUUUCCAGGGGAUAAUCUGCCCACACUGCAGAACUCUGCAGUUGUCUGCUCAUUUUAAUAAGUUCUGCCUUUCUGCUGCUUUAAAGCAACAAAGUAGAGCAGUAGUGCAGAACAAGAGCCUCCAAUCCUGAUAUUGGAUGUUAGAACUUCCUUGCUCUCAUGUAACAGAUGCAGACAGAAUAUCUAAGUUAAAGUUUUGUGCCCCUUAAAAACAGGGGAGACGUGUCCCUUUCUCAAGUGUCUUUCAAAUUACCUUGCAAACUGCAAUGAGCUACAAUGCAAAGUCUGAAAUACCUGUUUGUAUCAAUUUGGGAUAAUGUUCUGGUUGCUAUUAUCUACUGUGGUGAGUGGAACAGAAGGUACAUCAGCCUGGCACAGAUAAUGAUUCCCUCAUAUCACUUUUUCUGAGGUAUUUGGACUAUCCAGACUAGUUUCAAAAGACUGUAAAGUCUUACAGUUUGCAGGUUUGCAUUCUGAAUUUUUAUCUAUUUUCAGCGUCUGCCAGCUAUAUUGAAGUGAUACUGUAUUAUGUAUGGGGAAAUAGAAAGCUAUCAUCUCAAAAUAGACCAUAAUAUUGCACCUUAUUAAAAAAUACAUGUGGGUUUUCUGCCAGCAACCAUGACUUACGAUAAUGACUGUUAUCAAUAUGCAAUUACUUCUGUUACCCUGGAACAUAUUGACAUUCAUUUAUUUAAAGAUAAUGUAACACAUUUGUAUUCAUUGAGGUAAUCAUUGGAUAUGAUUAAAUGUGAAUGCCCAUCUUAUACGAAACAGUAAAACAACAAAAAAAUUGUCAUUGGACGUUCUGCACUACUUAAAAUAGGUUGUAAUAAAUUCUGAAAAUUGCAUUUGAGCUUCUUUGAAACACAGUGACAACCAACCAUAAAGAAGCAAAAGCAUAACUUGGGUGAUUGCCAAUUUAAACAUUCAUUCUUUCUAAUGAUAUAGGCUGAACUUGACAAUAAGAAAAAGACCUUCAAAUAAAACUGUAAUCCCGUGUUUGUGGAAUGGACUACAGAGUUUGUGAUAGUGUGGAACAGAAGUCCAUUUAAACCGUGACAUUAAGUGGAGGCAGGAAUCUGUUUGACUGGGUUGUUUAGAUCAGUUUUGAAGAUGCAGAGGUUAGAUGUGGCAACAGGCAGGCAUUUAAAUCUGGUGUUUAGGUUUUGAAUAAUCAUUUUAUCCCCCAAAUUCCUUGUGGAAUAUAGGAUACCCCAGGAGGGCUUGGGCAUCCCAGGGCUGUUGCAGAAGUACCCC